UGGUUUUCCUCAUAGCAUUCUUGUGAGGCUCAGAGAGGAAAACUCCAGAAGACUCACAUGAUGGUAAAGGAGUAUUGAUACUUACACACAACACAUCUAACUAAGGCCUGGAAUGGUUCCAAGGAGCUUCAUCUUCUAAAGAUCUUCUAUGGACUCAACUAGAAGAUUUCUUAUGCUGCAGAGGCACUUUCCUUCACCUCAAGGCCUUGGACACAGGGUCCUGUCUCAUCAGCAUAGAACCUCAUAG